UGCGGGGUGGAGCAGUCUGGUAGCUCGUCGGGCUCAUAACCCGAAGGUCGCAGGUUCGAAUCCUGCCCCCGCUA
rnacentral:tRNA from 13 species